GGUACUUGCUUCUGGGUGUUGGAGAAGAGAGGAGCUCAUUCAGCCCAGGCUGGAGUGGCAUGCUCUUCUUGGUUCCUCCGGAAGACACAGGCUUCUGGAGUUUACAAAACAAAACUGACUCCGUCAAAAAUGUCCUUGGCUCAUGAGGAAAAAAAUGAUACCCAGUUGGUCAAAAAGUCACAUUUUUGUGUGGUUGUAAUUCUUAUGAAAAAAGCAGCAAUAAUCCUUUAAAAUAUGACUUUCAAAUAUCCUUUUGAGAAUAUUGAAAUCAAUUAAACAAUAAAUAUAUUCUCAUUUAUAAAAGAAAUCA
rnacentral:lncRNA from 1 species